UGCAGGACUCAACAGCCCCUCGAUUUUAAAUUCCCAGCCUUUUUGAGCCGCACGAUGACUCCUACGCCAUCCGAAUGCAUCCUCCAAGGGCGCGAGGCCUGUGUGUGCUGGGGGGCUGCCCUGGGCUCAGCUCCGGGGCUCAGUGCGAGCCAGCGAGCGGACGUGGCGGCCCGCGUCUCCCGCACAGCCCAGUGUCACCGCGCAGCAGCAGCAGCGCGAGCGAGGGCAGGGUGAGCACACAGUAGGGACUGAGAGCCGCGUUCGGGGCCCCUGUCCCAGUGCCUGUCGGAAGCGCUCCGCUGUAUUAUUCGUUAUUACUGUUGAUCCCUGAUAGGAACUUAAACUUUAUCGGAGGUGUGGAUUUCGAGUGACUGUCAGAGCUCUGGCUGGUGUGACCAUAACUACAUCACCACCAUCCUCACCCUGGGUUGACCCUCAGAGCCAGCCGGACAAGCAAGAAGCACAGGAGACAACCGGCCUUUCCUGUACACAGGCACAGAGUCACCAGCAGCCUUCCUCACCCUGUGCCCUCAGUGCCCCAUCACAGAACCCCCCAACACCCUGGAUCACCCGUGAGGACCUUUGAGCUCCACCCUCCCAAGUGCCCCAGUGGCCAGCUGGAUCAGCAGGGCCCAAGCUAGGCCUGAAAUUCGUGGAGUUUCAGGGUCCCAAACAGACAACACCUCUGGAAAGUUUGGAUCUUAAGGGACAAAAACAGGCUCCUUUCUACCUCACAAAAUAACUCGUAAAUGUAGAGAGAAUUGGAAAUGCACCAAAUGCCAUUAAUGCUAGAAAACCAUUGUUUUUAACUUUGGAACACAAAAGUGUGUUCUCUAUGAGUUGUGUUUUUUCCUGGAUCUUGGAGCUCCAUAUGCCUUGAGGACUCCAGAUUCGUGUGGUCACAUGUAGAGACCUGAGGCAAGGAGACAUCAGGACUGUGAGUCAAGAGUAGGUCCUCUUGCUACUGCCCUAGGAUUCCAAAGUCCCUUCUGAUCUGCUCCAGUGAAAUUCUCAAGGAACCUUCAUGUUCUGAUCUUUCCCUACAGCAAAACUGUUGUCUUUUACAAUCUGCCCUCAAUAUGACUCCAAUAGGAUAAGUGGAGGCCGCUGCUUUCAGUACUUGCUUCAUAGCAAGUUGGAGACAAGGUGUAGAAAACAUAGCAGUCACCCAAAUGAUCAUAUCUAGAAUUACCAUAUGAUGCAGCAACUGCCGCUCCAGGGGUAUGGCCAAAAGAAUUGAAAGCCAGAGCCGGAACCGGUAUCUAUACACCCAUGUUCACAGCGGCAUUAUUCCCACAGUCAAAAGGGGACAGCAACCCCCAUGCCUAUUCACAAGUGAAUGGAUAAACAAACGUGGACUACACAUGCAUGGAUAUCAUUCAGCUAAAAAGAAAGGGAAUUCUGACCUGUACUACAACACGGAUGGACAAUGAGGAUGUGUGCUAAGUGAAAUACAAAGGGUGAUCAAAGUAUAAGAUGAAUGUUUAAUUUUUUUAAAUGUAUUACAGUAAAAGACACACUGCCAUUAAUCUCCCUCAAAAUGCUCCCCCUCACUCCAAACACAUAUAUCCCAUUGCUCUGGCCAUGUUCUGAAGCAGCUCUGUAAGUCCUCUUUCAUGAGUGUCUUUAUAAGCUGUGAUAAAAAUACAGUGAACACCACUUCUGAGUGUCAUCCAAUGAAAAGGCAGGCACAAAAAGCAUGACACUGUGUGUCCUCAUCUGCCGUAUUCAUAGGACCUAGCACUAUGCGACUUCUGGUUCUUCUCCAAAGUCAAAAUCACCAUGAAAGGGAAAUGUUUUUAUUCAACUCAGCACAUUAAGGAGCCACAAUAGUGCAACUAACGACACGAAAGAGGACUUCCAGAACUGCUUCAGAAAGUGGCAAGAAUGAUUGGUUAGCCCAUCCCUUGCACACACAUAUCCAUUGUGUGUAUUGGGGGUUUUUAUUUUGUUUUGUUUUGUGGAGACAGGGUCUCACCAUGCAGUUCAGGCUGGUCUUGAACUCCUGACGAUCCUCCUGCCCCAGCCUCCCAAGUGCUGGGAUUACAGGUAUGUACCACCACAUCCGGGCAUUAUGUAUAUUUGAAGCAAGGACAAGUAUUUUGGAGGGGAUUACUGGCAAUAUAUCUUUAUAUCUCUCUUUUUUUUCCGGUGCUGGAGAUCAAACUGAGGACCUUGUGCUUACCAGGCAGGCAUGGCACCACUGAGCCACAUCCCUUUUAUUAUCAUCUCUCUUAAACCGGGCUCAGAAGGGCAAAUUCUGUAUGAUUCCAAUAAGAGGUACCUAGAGCAUCAAAUUUAUAGACACAGAAACUGAGACAGAGGUGGGGUUGGAAUGCAACUAGAGGGUUAAGCUACAUGCAGGGGGUGCUGGGUUCCAUUGGUUGUGGUGGGGUACAGUGCUUGCCAGGCACCAGGAAGAGAAGAGGAGAGAAGAAUUAGUGUUUAAUGGGCACAGAGUUUCAGGUAGGAGGAUGAGAGGAAUCCUGCAGGUGGACGGCAAAGAUGGUUGCACAGCGUGAAUGUACAGUGUCUAAUGCCACUGAACUGUAUGUCUUUAAAUGGUUAAUAUGGUAAAGUCUGUGCUUUGCACAUUUUGCAAUGACAACAACUCCAUAAAAGGAACCUCCACGUCAGCAAGAAGCUCCCCUGGUGACAAUGGCAGGGUGUUGGACAGAGAUGUCACCCAGCCACCCAGCAUCUGCAUCUGCACCCUAUCCUCAUCCUGGGGGCUCAGUCUUCAGAAAUGUGAAGGAGCUGGCGCUGCGCAAGUUGUCCAGAAAACCUUCCUGUGGCAGAGCAAAGUGGACACCUUAUCCAUCACGAGGGAGAUCUCCAUAACUGAAUACUCUCGGAAGGGAGAGUUGGCAUGUUCUUCUUAUAUUUUCUCUUUUUCUUCCAGGUCUUCUUCACCUCUCUCAUUGCUUCCCCAGCACAUCUGCUUUUUGGUGUCUAGGAGUUCCCUUGCCUUUCCUCUUCUGGGUUCCUGCUCAGGAUUUGGAGAUGAGUCCAGUUCCACCUCUCCUUCCUCUAAAGCCAAGCGUGAGCAACAACUGAACUUUGAAUUGUAUUUGUAGCAGAGGAAAGGAUUGAGUCCAAAAGAAAAGGAGGCACCAAGGGCUGAUAUUCUCGCUCCUUAUAUUCUCCAAAAUUAAAGGAAAUUCAAAGGGUUUUAGCUGGUGGAAAUCAGGAAAAUGUCCGUCUGCAUGGAAAGAAAACCUACUGUGGAAGGCUGUUAGAAGGCUAUGAUUUAGGAUCUCAAAGUUGGAUUGGCUUUUUUUUAUAAAUAGUCAUAAUUGUAAAUGUUCUGUUUCUGCUGGUCUUAUUUUGAUGUCCCGCCUUGAGUAAAAGAUCCUCAGAAGUCACACGCGAUGAACUUGUUUGUUUGCAAAGUUCAUUUUAACCAGAGACUUUGCCACCCACCAGUGCCCCCUUUUUCGUCUAAAAGUUUGUCUCCGAAAGAGAUCUUGGAAGGCGGAAAGUCUCAUGGGCAAUUUUCUGUGCUUGGUACUGAGGAAAUGUUACUGAGGGGCUCUUUAUCCCUGUUCGGUUCCUCCAGCCCAAUAAAAUACCUAUUUUCAAUGGCUUUCUAAUGCCUGGUUAUAUUUGCGGAGUGAUUUACAGAAAGGAAAAUUGCAGUUCGAGCGUGUGAAGUGCAGGGAUGUUUCAGAACAG